AAAAGUGAGUUGAGCCCGUCUGGUCUUUGAUACGUUCUUUGCUGGCCGUCGCUUUUGCUAUUGUUUGGCAAACCUGUUCGUUUUCUGUAAGAGCAAAAGAGAGAGAGAACACAUGUGCACGAAUAUGGCUUGCUUAUUAAUUAGCGUAUUGCCCGAAGUGACUAUGCAGUCAAGAUUCACAAGCCGACCCGCUAGCUACCAUCCCAUUGAAGCUCUUCAACAUCUCUCAGGUUCUAAAACCCAAUUUUGAAUAAUUCCAAGCCAACAUUAUGAUUGUAGCAACAUCCCUCAUGGUCUCUUUGGUGUUUUUUAUUUGUGGAGAAAUGGUCAAUUCCUACGCCAUCUUCCCUCGAACGAUGAACUCCCUACAUAUGGGCUCCCACAGACCCGACCGAGAAAAUCAACAUUUAGAAAUGGACGACGAGUCUUCUGGAACGAUGCCAGAAUGCAUCGGAGAUAUGGAU